CCGGGAAGUAAGCUUUCUAGGAGUCGAUACGUUCUCUAAGGGGUGAGAGCAGGCGCCCACCAACCGCUUUCUUGGUGGCUCUCAGACUUGGGGAUUGAUCUCCCUCCUGGCUGGGCAGACGACCGGGGGAGGGGAACUUGGAGAAACAGAAAUAAGACAGAGAAAAAGCUCCAGUAGUUGUACAGGUGCAAAAGCCCCUGCCGGGUGGAGAGACCAGUCACAAAUCAGACUGAUGAGCCAGAAGAAAGAAGCUGAAUAAGCCCCAAAUUGGAUAGUCUAAAUAAAAGAUCUCAUCAAUCUGAAAAUCA
rnacentral:lncRNA from 1 species